UGUCGUGAGAUGUUGGGUUAAGUCCCGCAACGAGAGCAACCCUUUUCAUUAGUUGCUAAAAUAAGGCACUCGAAUGGGACUGCCGGUGACAAACCGGAGGAAGGUGGGGAUGACGUCGAGUCCUCAUGGCCCUUAUGGGUAGGGCUACACACGUCAUACAAUGGCAGGUACAGAGGGCUGCCAACCCGCGAGGGGGAGCCAAUCCCGUAAAACCGGUCGUAGUCCGGAUUGCAGUCUGCAACUCCACUGCAUGAAGUCGGAAUCGCUAGUAAUCGCGGAUCAGCAUGUCUCGGUG
rnacentral:rRNA from 1 species